rnacentral:rRNA from 1 species
UAGAACGCUGAAGAGAGGAGCUUGCUCUUCUUGGAUGAGUUGCGAACGGGUGAGUAACGCGUAGGUAACCUGCCUGGUAGCGGGGGAUAACUAUUGGAAACGAUAGCUAAUGCCGCAUAACAACAGUUGUUGCAUGACAGCUGUUUAAAAGGUGCAAUUGCACCACUACCAGAUGGACCUGCGUUGUAUUAGCUAGUUGGUGGGGUAACGGCUCACCAAGGCGACGAUACAUAGCCGACCUGAGAGGGUGAUCGGCCACACUGGGACUGAGACACGGCCCAGACUCCUACGGGAGGCAGCAGUAGGGAAUCUUCGGCAAUGGACGGAAGUCUGACCGAGCAACGCCGCGUGAGUGAAGAAGGUUUUCGGAUCGUAAAGCUCUGUUGUAAGAGAAGAACGAGUGUGAGAGUGGAAAGUUCACACUGUGACGGUAUCUUACCAGAAAGGGACGGCUAACUACGUGCCAGCAGCCGCGGUAAUACGUAGGUCCCGAGCGUUGUCCGGAUUUAUUGGGCGUAAAGCGAGCGCAGGCGGUUAGAUAAGUCUGAAGUUAAAGGCUGUGGCUUAACCAUAGUACGCUUUGGAAACUGUUUAACUUGAGUGCAAGAGGGGAGAGUGGAAUUCCAUGUGUAGCGGUGAAAUGCGUAGAUAUAUGGAGGAACACCGGUGGCGAAAGCGGCUCUCUGGCUUGUAACUGACGCUGAGGCUCGAAAGCGUGGGGAGCAAACAGGAUU